rnacentral:rRNA from 1 species
AACGAACGCUGGCGGCAUGCCUAACACAUGAAAGUCGAACGAGACCUCCGGGCUUGGGGGCGCACGGUGGCUUAAGGGGUGGGAACUGGCCUUUAGGUUGGGAAAAACUCCCGAAAAGGGGGGCUAUAACCGGUAAAUGUCUCCGGACAAAAGUUUUAUCGCCUUUGGAUGGGCCCGCGUUGGAUUAGCUAGUUGGUAGGGUAAAAGCCUACCAAGGCGACGAUCCAUAGCUGGUCUGAGAGGAUGAUCAGCCACACUGGGACUGAGACACGGCCCAGACUCCUACGGGAGGCAGCAGUGGGGAAUAUUGGACAAUGGGCGAAAGCCUGAUCCAGCAAUGCCGCGUGAGUGAUGAAGGCCUUAGGGUUGUAAAGCUCUUUUACCCGGGAUGAUAAUGACAGUACCGGGAGAAUAAGCUCCGGCUAACUCCGUG